rnacentral:rRNA from 1 species
UACGUAGGGUGCAAGCGUUGUCCGGAAUUAUUGGGCGUAAAGAGCUCGUAGGCGGUUCGUCGCGUCGGCUGUGAAAUCCCGAGGCUCAACCUCGGGUCUGCAGUCGAUACGGGCGGACUGGAGUUCGGCAGGGGAGACUGGAAUUCCUGGUGUAGCGGUGAAAUGCGCAGAUAUCAGGAGGAACACCGGUGGCGAAGGCGGGUCUCUGGGCCGAUACUGACGCUGAGGAGCGAAAGCUAGGGGAGCAAACGGG